rnacentral:lncRNA from 1 species
CCCACAAAAAAAAGAAAAAAAUUGAAAUACUUACGAAAAGUUAUGAGAUGUCGCGCAACGUCGCCGUCAAGACCAACGAACGACCGACCGACUCAAGUAGUCUGUUGAAGAAAAGCAAAAGGAAAAAGAGCAAAUAACCAAAUGGAAAUAGACUCUAAAAACACGAUGCGAUAUAAAGCGCAGAGCAAGACUUGAAGAAUAGUUAGAAGAAAAAUUCUAGUCUGCGAAACUGUCGUUUUCCUAUGCGCCAAGCAAAGAUGUAGUUGACAAGAGUGCUGCUAUGCUGGCUGACUAAGGGUAAGUGCGUAAAGACGUACAACACUGCAAUGUAUACGAGUGCGCCGAGAGCGAGUGAGCGGGAGUGGGUGAGUAUGAGAUAUGCGAGAGAAGCUCACCUAGUGACAAAAAAGUCAACGACAAAACCAAGAUCAAGAACAGGGAGUAUAGUGAAUCUAAUAUAUAAGGAUUUCGGUAAACCCCGAUUGUGCCUCUUUGUACUUGGGUUGAGCGGGUGGAAGAGGGAAGCAGCGGCAAAAGGAGGGGGGAAGAAAUGAAGGGGCAAAUCAAGACAAACGCAAAAGAGGUAAAAAGUGAAUGCUGACAACCAGGUGCAACACAAACGGAACUUUGACCUCGCAAAAUGUCACCUGAGAAUCAUCGCGUUUUCACGAGAGCGAAGUAACAAAGACGGGAGUGUUAUGACAAAAGGCAAAGGCAAGGGCAAGACAGGGUAAGGUAAGGCUGACGAGUUGGCGACGGCUUGGAGCUCGUAUUUUAAAUAUAACGCAAAAGAGAGAGAUGCAGGACAAGGGCGAUACAAGGCAAAAUGUGUAGGCGAGGGAAGGCAUAGAUAGAGAGAGAGAGAGAGCGCACAAUAAGGAAGAAAGAUGGGCGAGAUUGGAUGAAAUGGGUGAGUCAAGAGAGCUGGGAGAAUUUCAAGCGUUUCUGUUUGUAAAGAAGAUUAUUAUUCAUCAACAAGGAACUAGAUGGAGUGUGAAAGGAAUGGGGAUAGACGGGGAUAAAGAAGAAAUUGGGGUUAUCGGUUACGUUGGUAGUAAAAAAAGGAGGGAAGCGUCAUAAUAGAGAGAAGGAGAAAAAUAACAAAAGUUGGAUUGGAUAGAAUUUAAAAAAAAAAAGAAAAAAGAAGAAAAAAAAGAAACAUUCAAUCAAUAACAAUUUCGAAAAAUCUUUUUACUUUAAAAAAAAAAAAAAAAGCGACUUUAUGGAAACUGUAUUCCACAGUGCGAAAUGAACAAAGCAACAAACGACUCUAUUCGUCUUUGAGCCCAUUCUGUUGGUUGAGGAUAUAUAGUGUAGCGUAAGUUAGCUCACCGCUUGCAAAAUUGAGCCUAGCACAGGGCGCUAGUAGAGACAAAAGUAAUCAACGUAAACAAAACGCAUCGUGUUACUUGCAAGAUAAGAGAAGAAAGAAAGUAAAAAGGAAAAAAGAAAAUUUACCAACGAAUCACACUGCAUAUGCUUUUGGUUGAUGGGAUGGCUUGUCCAAAGCAGCCACAAGGCAAAAUAGGAGGAUGCAAAGCAAAUGCGCAAGUAAAAAAAAAAAAAAGCAUGCGAAACCGAACACUCUUAAUGAGAUGAUGGAAAAAGGUGAAAUUUCUUUACGGCAAUUUCCACUCCACCGAAUACCGAACCGAUCGAUCAAAAGUGCUGCGGCAGCGAAAAGUCUAGCGCAAAACACAUUGCUGAAAACGUAUCGCUCAAAGCACAUCGCUUGACUUGAUCUGUCAUGCAUGCUUUGCAAUUUCCACGCCAUCCCCUUCCAUUCAAUUAGUUUAGCCAUGAAAGGAUGGAUGGAUGACAAGAGCAGUUUGCAAAACGAAAAAAAAAGAGUGCAGUGGAACGAACUUUGCGAAAGGGUUCAAUGUAUUUCAGUAAAUUGGCUAGACCCACAUGGGCAGCGUAUCUAAAGUAAGCUCACAUAAGUGAUUACGAGUUGCGAGAGCCGACAGUGACAUUAACAUUUGGGCAGGCAUGACCAAGACCAUGACAAUAUCUUACCUUUCUGAAUGACGACCUCUUACAACCUGGAUGCAUCGAUAUUAUUGAUAUGAAAACUUUCUUAUUAUACGAGAUUCUUUUCUUACGGCCACCAUGACUCUUUACUAGUCCCCCUUACUCUUCAUUUUACUCCUACUACUCCCCAAAUUCAUACACACUUUCAUUCGUCCCUACUUGAUUCUCCAAGUAUCACCCGAUCGCUGUAUGCUCGCUCCUACUGCGACGAGAAGAAAAUUGCAUCUCUUUUGUCCGUCGAUCCCAUUCUCGAUUUGCACACGUACGCACAUAUGAUAAGGCAUCGUUGCAGGUGACGUUGUAAUGUCUGCCGCUUCCAUCAGCACGAUUUUUAGUCCAUAGCAUCCCUGUCCCUUUGUUGAGCGCUGCACAUAAAGGAAAAAGAAAAACCGAAUGAAAUUUGAUUUAAUGUAACAUACAUGCUUUACUAAUAAACGAAGAAAAGAGUCGAUAAUGUCAAGGGGAAAUCUAAAAGAAAAGAAAAUACUAUACUAUACUAUACUAUACUAGACUAUACUUUACUUUACUAAACUAUACUAUUAUAAUGAAAAGGAUCCUCAAGAUUCAUUCUUAUACGGAUGUAUGUUGUUUCGAUGUUUAUAAAUAGGAAUUGGAUGUUUAGUUGGCGAGUUAUUUAGAUGUUUAAUGAUAGUUAUUUGUAUUA